rnacentral:sRNA from 1 species
GGGAAUGUUACGUGGCGGUGCUAGACUU